CCCUUAGAUGUUCUGGGCCGCACGCGCGCUACACUGAUGCAUUCAACGAGUCUAAAACCUGCUCUGAUAGGGGUGGGUAAUCUUUUGAAUGUGCAUCGUGAUUGGGAUAGAUGAUUGCAAUUUUUCAUCUUCAACGAGGAAUGCCUAGUAAACGCAAGUCAUCAGCUUGCACUGAUUACGUCCCUGCCCUUUGUACACACCGCCCGUCGCUCCUACCGAUUGAAUGAUCCGAUGAAUAUCAUGGAUUGAGGAUGCAAGUAGGUUAGCCUAUCUUCAUCUUCGAGAAGUGAAGUAAAUCUUAUCAUUUAGAGGAAGGAGAAGUCGUAACA
rnacentral:rRNA from 1 species